rnacentral:rRNA from 1 species
AGAUUGAUCAUGGCUCAGGAUUAACGCUGGCGGCGUGCCUAAUACAUGCAAGUCGAAUGGUAGCAAUACCAUGGCGAACGGGUGAGUAACACGUAGGUAACCUGUCUUUAAGCCGAGGAUAACCAUUGGAAACGAUGGAUAAUACUGGAUAGGACAUUUGAAGGCAUCUUUAGAUGUUUAAAGAUUUAUCACUUAGAGAGGGGCCUGCGGCGCAUUAGCUAGUUGGUGAGGUGAAGGCUUACCAAGGCGAUGAUGCGUAGCCGGACUGAGAGGUUGAACGGCCACAAUGGAACUGAGAACGGUCCAUACUCCUACGGGAGGCAGCAGUAGGGAAUUUUCGGCAAUGGGCGGAAGCCUGACCGAGCAACGCCGCGUGAACGAAGAAGUAUUUCGGUAUGUAAAGUUCUUUUAUUAGGGACGAAAAGACAGAUUGACGGUACCUAAUGAAUAAGCUCCGGCUAACUACGUGCCAGCAGCGGC